rnacentral:misc_RNA from 1 species
UCAAGCCCGUCUGGAAGCG